AAACUCUCAAGCUCCGCUUGGUGUUGGGUGCCGGUCCCCCGCGGGACCCGCCCGUAACCAGUUGGUGGUACCGUCCGGCUUCAAGCGUAGUAAGAAUCUUCCCUCGCUUCAGAAGCUCCGGGCGGCGCCUGCCAGGGAAAUCACACCCCUAAA
rnacentral:misc_RNA from 1 species